rnacentral:misc_RNA from 1 species
ACGAGUUAAUUGAACAGGUUGUAGCUGGCCCCCAGGGGCAUGUGCACGCCUGGCUCAUCCACUCUUCAACCUCUGUGCACUUGUUGUAGGUCGGCGGAAGGGCGAGUCUGGUUUCAUUACUGUGACUUGCUUGAAAGCCUUCCUAUGUCUUUACAAACGCUUCAGUUUAAGAAUGUAAUCUGCGUAUAACGCAUCUAUAUA